GCCAUUUUAGCUCAGCUGGUAGAGCAACUCAUUCGUAAUGAGUAGGUCCGGGGUUCGAGCCCCCGAAGUGGCU
rnacentral:tRNA from 1 species